rnacentral:rRNA from 1 species
AGCGAACGCUGGCGGCACGGCCUAACACAUGCAAGUCGAACGAACCCUUCGGGGUUAGUGGCGGACGGGUGAGUAACACGUGGGAACGUACCUUUAGGUUCGGAACAACACAGGGAAACUUGUGCUAAUGCCGAAUGUGCCCUUCGGGGGAAAGAUUUAUCGCCUUUAGAGCGGCCCGCGUCUGAUUAGCUUGUUGGUGAGGUAAAGGCUCACCAAGGCUUCGAUCAGUAGCUGGUCUGAGAGGAUGAUCAGCCACACUGGGACUGAGACACGGCCCAGACUCCUACGGGAGGCAGCAGUGGGGAAUCUUGCGC